CAGUCGCCGCGGUAACACCAGCACCUCGAGUGGUCAGGAGGUUUAUUGGGCCUAAAGCAUCCGUAGCCGGUUGCAUAAGUUUUCGGUUAAAUCUAUGCGCUUAACGUAUAGGCCGCCGAAAAUACUGUGCAGCUAGGGAGUGGGAGAGGUACACGGUACUCGAUAGGAAGGGGUAAAAUCCUUUGAUCUAUUGAUGACCACCUGUGGCGAAGGCGGUGUACCAGAACACGUUCGACGGUGAGGGAUGAAAGCUGGGGGAGCAAACCGGAUUAGAUACCCCCGUAGUCCCUGUCUCUUAUAC
rnacentral:rRNA from 1 species